GUGCUCGCUUCGGCCGCAAAUAUACUAAAAUUGGAACGAUACAGAGAUUAAUAUGGCCCCUGCGCAAGGAUGACAAGCAAAUUUGUGAAGCAUUCCAUAUUUUU